AACCUCCCUGCUCUCAGGAGAACCUGGCACAACACGAUCACCAACUCAGAGGGAGGCAAGCAACCUUGAGUCAGUUCCCAGGCAGUAAUGAGUGUUCAAAGGAGAUAUAACUCUAAGGAAAAGGAUUGAGGUCAUGGAAUGAGAAGAAACAGAUGGAAGAAUCAUUUGAACCAUAUCCAGGUCUUUUGAAAAUGAUGAGACAGAAGAGAAAGAGACAAUUGCUUCACACAAUUUUGCUGAGAAAUUUGCCUCAGAUAAAUUUCUAAGAUAAGAAAACCCCUAGGCAGGGAGCGAAAGAAAAAAAAAGAAAAGAGCAAAUACAUUCUUCCUUCUUAUCUUCGACUUGCCAGAGUAGCUUUACUAAGAUGCUGCCCAAUCAUUUCUCUCCAGACACUUUUGCCAAUUAUCUUAACACUAUAUAGGAACAUUUCUGGACUUGAUUCAUUAAUGAUUAGAAAGCUCUUAACUAGAUGACCAGGCUACAGUCUCACCUGCCAGGCAGUGCAGCUGCAGAUCUUGGCUGACCAUCCUGUCAGCACCUACUAUGUAUCAGUCACUGUGCUAGGAGUUGGAAAUAUGAGGAAGACCAUAACUCUCACAAUGAGAAUACAAGGAAGACCAUCUCUCAAGAAAGGAACAUCAUAAAACAUGUUUACUCUCAAGUCCUUGUCCUUAUCAAAAAUAUCUUCAGAUUGAUGUCAUUCUGAGAAAAGUGAUUUCAUACUGAAAAAAAAAAAUCUACAAAAAUAGUAAAACGUUUCUUCUCCAUUUUCAGAACUUGGGGGCGGGGGCAGGUGUUUUCAUCUACUUUCAUCUUUGUCCUGGUAGAAAUGAUAUGCUUAACAUUUUGGUGAGGAAGGUCAGUCUCUAAGGCUACAGAUGAGAAGAUCGGUUACUGGAUGUGUUCCUAACUUCAAAGUCAAAUCCAAGAGCCUGAAAAUAAAGGAUAGAAGGAAAGGGAAACAAAGAAAAAUUACCAGACAAUGUGAAGACAUUUUAUGGAGAGGAAGAAAGAGUGAGCACAGGAAAAAUCACAAAGGAGUAUACGAAGAAAAGAAAGAUAACAGUUAUUAGUAAGUAAAGAGAUAAUCAAGUGAUAAUCUUUUCAGUGGCAUGAACACCAUAGUUUGUCACAUCACUGGUCAUUAGUGAUUUGUGAGAAGCAGUGUCUCAACUAUGUUUCUGUUACAUUAAUUAUACCUGAAAUAAAAUCUUCGCACAC